UAGCAUUUCAACUUAUCAUCAUUCGUAGGUGCAAAGGUUGUACUGGUCAGAAUUUAGACCAGACACCAAAAUAUGGCUUCGUUUUGGCUUACAACUGGUCUAUUGUUGAUUCUUUUAACCACCCUAACUACGGCUGAUGUUCAGAAAACGUUUGUUUCCUGACAAAAAAGCGGUGAUGCCAGCCUCUGACAGGAACUGCAACAGGCUGGAGCAGUGGUCAAAGAUGACGCUGAGAAAACUUCCGAGCUAAAGGUAAAAUGGAAAAGAGAUGCAGAGAGGCGAGAUGAUAUUAUUGAACGGUUCGUUGCGAUGAGAAAAAAGAGUUAAGAAAAACCGCGGUGAAGAGUGCAGAAGACAUCGGACAUGGGGAAUAUUUUUAAAAUAAUAUCGUGAUAAAUUAAUUUGCAUAUGCAUGAUUACUUAAAAGAUCAGCAAUACAAGAGAUAAGGCCAUUGAUUUAAAAAAAUUGGUGAAAAUGUUAGAUUGCGCAUUCUUCUUGUUUAAUCAUCACACGAGUGAACUUUGAACUUUUUUCAUCGAAAUUGCUUAAAAUGAUUUUUUUCUAGGAGUUUCCUUAAUUAAAGUACAAGUAUAGCGUAACAAUUUUUUGCACUAAAACACCAGGUUGCCUUAUCUCUUAUAAUGUUUUAAACUAAAGUUAUUUUGAUCGAAGGGUAUUUUCUUGGGUAUAAAUUUUGAUAGAUUCAGCAUUUUAAUGACAUUGUUCUUAGUGAUUAUGACAGCAUUUGGUCAAAACUUUGUGAAACCAUUUGCUGGAAGCUCUGUUCACACAAAGACAUUUGAAAUAAAAUGAAUAUGAUUUGCAUUAA